rnacentral:rRNA from 1 species
CUGGUCUUGACAUCCACGGAAGUUUUCAGAGAUGAGAAUGUGCCUUCGGGAACCGUGAGACAGGUGCUGCAUGGCUGUCGUCAGCUCGUGUUGUGAAAUGUUGGGUUAAGUCCCGCAACGAGCGCAACCCUUAUCCUUUGUUGCCAGCGGUCCGGCCGGGAACUCAAAGGAGACUGCCAGUGAUAAACUGGAGGAAGGUGGGGAUGACGUCAAGUCAUCAUGGCCCUUACGACCAGGGCUACACACGUGCUACAAUGGCGCAUACAAAGAGAAGCGACCUCGCGAGAGCAAGCGGACCUCAUAAAGUGCGUCGUAGUCCGGAUUGGAGUCUGCGACUCGACUCCAUGAAGUCGGAAUCGCUAGUAAUCGUGGAUCAGAAUGCCACGGUGAAUACGUUCCC